GGAGCCAUAGCUUAGUGGUAGAGCGUCGACCUUAUAAGUCGAAGGUGGAUGGUUCGAUCCCAUCUGGCUCCACCG
rnacentral:tRNA from 1 species